rnacentral:rRNA from 1 species
GCUUACCAUGCAGUCGAGGGGCAGCAGGAUCUAGCAAUAGAUUGCUGGCGACCGGCGCACGGCUGAGUAACACGUAUCCAACCUGCCGAUAACUCGGGGAUAGCCUUUCGAAAGAAAGAUUAAUACCCGAUGGUAUAAUCAGACCGCAUGGUUUGAUUAUUAAAGAAUUUCGGUUAUCGAUGGGGAUGCGUUCCAUUAGGCAGUUGGUGAGGUAACGGCUCACCAAACCUUCGAUGGAUAGGGGUUCUGAGAGGAAGGUCCCCCACAUUGGAACUGAGACACGGUCCAAACUCCUACGGGAGGCAGCAGUGAGGAAUAUUGGUCAAUGGGCGCAGGCCUGAACCAGCCAAGUAGCGUGAAGGAUGACUGCCCUAUGGGUUGUAAACUUCUUUUAUAUGGGAAUAAAGUUUUCCACGUGUGGAAUUUUGUAUGUACCAUAUGAAUAAGGAUCGGCUAACUCCGUGCCAGCAGCCGCGGUAAUACGGAGGAUCCGAGCGUUAUCCGGAUUUAUUGGGUUUAAAGGGAGCGUAGGUGGACUGGUAAGUCAGUUGUGAAAGUUUGCGGCUCAACCGUAAAAUUGCAGUUGAUACUGGCUGUCUUGAGUACAGUAGAGGUGGGCGGAAUUCGUGGUGUAGCGGUGAAAUGCUUAGAUAUCACGAAGAACUCCGAUUGCGAAGGCAGCUCACUGGACUGCAACUGACACUGAUGCUCGAAAGUGUGGGUAUCAAACAGGAUUAGAUACCCUGCUAGUCCACACAGUAAACGAUGAAUACUCGCUGUUUGCGAUAUACAGUAAGCGGCCAAGCGAAAGCAUUAAGUAUUCCACCUGGGGAGUACGCCGGCAACGGUGAAACUCAAAGGAAUGACGG